UUGUAGACCCGGAUCAAAGGAAGAAGCUCUAUGGCUACUUCUUUGGUGGCGGAAGUCAUUGCAACCUUUGGUUGAGAAAGAGAGAAAAUGGAUGAAUGGAAACUAUUAUUGCUUGCUUGCAAAGCU